AUCUUAAUUAACAGUACUGCCUGACAGUAGCAUUUUUUUUCUUAUGCAUUUUUUCUAUAUAUAUAGCUUGCAUGCAUAUGACAUACACUAUAUAAGUCUAUAACAGCAUGAAAUCAGGAUUGUGUCUAUACUCUGAUUGCGAGCAGCUGCAGCCCAUCAAGGGGCCGUUGACAGAAAGACUCCCAGUUAUUUUGCAAUCGUCUAUUAUUUUUGUGGUCCUUGGUUGCAGAAUGAAAUUUACUUGUUCACUUUCGGGUUUUUUCUGUACAGUGUUCCUAAUUGCAAUUACACGUUC
rnacentral:lncRNA from 1 species